CUGCUGCUGCGUCUGCUGCUGAGUCUGCUGCUGCGUCUGCUGCUGCGUCGCUGGAUCGGGAUCCCCCUCGUAAUCUGGCAGGAUUAUCCUUUGGACAGAAAGUGGCUGGCCAAAGAUAAGAGCCACUAUUCUUUCUCGGGGAGUUUGGCCGCUGAGCUCCUCCUCUUCGAGACGGACCAGCGUUGGAAGCGAUUCCUCGGAGAUGGCCGGAUCUGGAUGUUGAUGAUGAUGGCUGCUCCGAUCCUGAUUUUGAGGCUGCAGCGGGCGGAAGUGUUGGAGCAGCUGUUGCAGAUAACGUGGUCUCUGCAAUCGCUGUGGUUCAUACGGCUGCAGUAAUAGUUUCCGAGCCUCCGGAUUGACAUGGCAAGCCAAGGAGUUGGCGAAGCGCCCACUUGCCGCAUGGAACACUUCGUCGAUUGUGUCUAGAUUGCUUUGCACCCGUCGCAGCUGGGAAUCGGAUGUAAGUGCGCCCCAAACCGGAAGACCAUAUUGCCAAAUGGGCAUGAUGAGCUGC